rnacentral:rRNA from 1 species
ACUUAAAUUGAAGAGUUUGAUCAUGGCUCAGAUUGAACGCUGGCGGCAGGCCUAACACAUGCAAGUCGAACGGUAGCACAGAGAGCUUGCUCUCGGGUGACGAGUGGCGGACGGGUGAGUAAUGUCUGGGAAACUGCCUGAUGGAGGGGGAUAACUACUGGAAACGGUAGCUAAUACCGCAUAACGUCGCAAGACCAAAGAGGGGGACCUUCGGGCCUCUUGCCAUCAGAUGUGCCCAGAUGGGAUUAGCUAGUAGGUGGGGUAACGGCUCACCUAGGCGACGAUCCCUAGCUGGUCUGAGAGGAUGACCAGCCACACUGGAACUGAGACACGGUCCAGACUCCUACGGGAGGCAGCAGUGGGGAAUAUUGCACAAUGGGCGCAAGCCUGAUGCAGCCAUGCCGCGUGUAUGAAGAAGGCCUUCGGGUUGUAAAGUACUUUCAGCGGGGAGGAAGGUGUUGUGGUUAAUAACCACAGCAAUUGACGUUACCCGCAGAAGAAGCACCGGCUAACUCCGUGCCAGCAGCCGCGGUAAUACGGAGGGUGCAAGCGUUAAUCGGAAUUACUGGGCGUAAAGCGCACGCAGGCGGUCUGUCAAGUCGGAUGUGAAAUCCCCGGGCUCAACCUGGGAACUGCAUUCGAAACUGGCAGGCUAGAGUCUUGUAGAGGGGGGUAGAAUUCCAGGUGUAGCGGUGAAAUGCGUAGAGAUCUGGAGGAAUACCGGUGGCGAAGGCGGCCCCCUGGACAAAGACUGACGCUCAGGUGCGAAAGCGUGGGGAGCAAACAGGAUUAGAUACCCUGGUAGUCCACGCCGUAAACGAUGUCGACUUGGAGGUUGUGCCCUUGAGGCGUGGCUUCCGGAGCUAACGCGUUAAGUCGACCGCCUGGGGAGUACGGCCGCAAGGUUAAAACUCAAAUGAAUUGACGGGGGCCCGCACAAGCGGUGGAGCAUGUGGUUUAAUUCGAUGCAACGCGAAGAACCUUACCUACUCUUGACAUCCAGAGAACUUUCCAGAGAUGGAUUGGUGCCUUCGGGAACUCUGAGACAGGUGCUGCAUGGCUGUCGUCAGCUCGUGUUGUGAAAUGUUGGGUUAAGUCCCGCAACGAGCGCAACCCUUAUCCUUUGUUGCCAGCGGUCCGGCCGGGAACUCAAAGGAGACUGCCAGUGAUAAACUGGAGGAAGGUGGGGAUGACGUCAAGUCAUCAUGGCCCUUACGAGUAGGGCUACACACGUGCUACAAUGGCGCAUACAAAGAGAAGCGACCUCGCGAGAGCAAGCGGACCUCAUAAAGUGCGUCGUAGUCCGGAUUGGAGUCUGCAACUCGACUCCAUGAAGUCGGAAUCGCUAGUAAUCGUAGAUCAGAAUGCUACGGUGAAUACGUUCCCGGGCCUUGUACACACCGCCCGUCACACCAUGGGAGUGGGUUGCAAAAGAAGUAGGUAGCUUAACCUUCGGGAGGGCGCUUACCACUUUGUGAUUCAUGACUGGGGUGAAGUCGUAACAAGGUAACCGUAGGGGAACCUGCGGUUGGAUCACCUCCUUACCUUAAGGAA